rnacentral:rRNA from 1 species
UACGUAGGUGGCAAGCGUUAUCCGGAAUUAUUGGGCGUAAAGAGUGAGCAGGCGGCAGAUUAAGUUUAAGGUUAAAGCGUGGGGCUCAACCCCAUAAAGCCUUGAAAACUGAUCAGCUAGAGUACGAGAGAUGUGAAGGGAACUCCAUGUGUAGCGGUGAAAUGCGUAGAUAUAUGGAAGAACACCAGUGGCGAAGGCGCUUCACAAGCUCGAAACUGACGCUCAGUCACGAAAGCGUGGGUAGCAAAUAGGAUUAGAUACCCUAGUAGUCCACGCUGUAAACUAUGAGAACUAAAUAUUGCCGCGAGGCAGUGUUGAAGCUAACGCAUUAAGUUCUCCGCCUGGGGAGUACGGUCGCAAGACUGAA